CUGGGAUGAAGCACUCUUCAUGACUGGAAGGAUGUCAAGAAGGAAGAACUGAUGUGUUCAAGCAUAUGGGCUGGGAUUCCUCUCACCUCACCAAUCACAGCGAAACGAGACUGCCAAGCUGCCAGUCAGAUCUGUCACCUUUGGACACCUCCUUUUGUGCCAGCAGGGAGAGGCUGCCAUCCUUGGGGCUUUCCUCAAGGGAUGGAGAGAAAGGAGCAGUGGCUGCACCAGGAAAGGUCCAGCAGUUCCAAGGAGUUGCUGUGGAAUUCUCUGUUCAGACAGCAGCUGGCAAAGGGAAACGAUUUCUGUGAAAACAGUUUCAAGUGCAAAAGGAGAAAUUAUAUUUUCUGGGGUUUGUUACAUUUUUUUUUUGCAAAAUUAUUGCUCCAUCUUUGGUGGGAAUAAUUCCCAGCUGCAUUUUGAAAUAUCUCCCUUCCUGCCACACUCUUUUUUAAUGGGUGACUUUUUCUGCAAGAGAUGCUGAUGUCGAUGGUGACUUUUAAAGUGCACAGGGAGAAGCUGCAUUUUUUUCCAAGUCUUCUGGGAAAGGCUUUUUGUCACCUCA